CGACGCCGCGUGCGGGAAGAAGGCCUUCGGGUUGUAAACCGCUGUCGGGAGUUAAGAAGUGCAGGGAUGCUAAUAGUAUUCUUACUUGACUAAGGCUCCGGAGGAAGCCACGGCUAACUCUGUGCCAGCAGCCGCGGUAAUACAGAGGCGGCAAGCGUUGUUCGGAAUUAUUGGGCGUAAAGAGCAUGUAGGCGGCUAUGUAAGUCGGUUGUGAAAGCCUUCCGCUUGACGGAAGAAUGGCGGCCGAAACUGCAUGGCUUGAGUGCGGUAGGGGAGAGUGGAACUUCUGGUGGAGCGGUGAAAUGCGUAGAUAUCAGAAGGAACGCCGGCGGCGAAAGCGACUCUCUGGACCGUAACUGACGCUGAGUGUGCGAAAGCUAGGGGAG
rnacentral:rRNA from 1 species